AUUUUUCUUAAUUGUAUAUGAUUUAGAAGCAAAAGAUACAUACAAUCCUAAAUUUUCACUUUUCUAUCUUUAACCGUUAUUUUUUUAAAAAAAUUUCGUGGUUUAACAUCUAUAUAUUAUAUAAAAUUCUAAUUCGCAGGCUUUGUUACCGUACUCCUCCGAAACCGCUUGACCGAUUUUCAUGAAAUUUGGCAGGUGGACUCGACCGGACAGGGAGUAGGUUGUUAUCUAUAUUUCAUAGCCGUACGUCAUAAGGGGGCUUUGCCCCCCCUAAAUUUUUUUUUAUUUUUCGACAAACCGAUUUUUCUUAAUUGUAUAUGAUUCAGAAGCAAAAGAUACAUACAAUCCUAAAUUUUCACUUUUCUAUCUUUAACCGUUAUUUUUUUAAAAAAAUUUCGUGGUUUAACAUCUAUAUAUUAUAUAAAAUUCUAAUUCGCAGGCUUUGUUACCGUACUCCUCCGAAACCGCUUGACCGAUUUUCAUGAAAUUUGGCAGGUGGACUCGACCGGACAGGGAGUAGGUUGUUAUCUAUAUUUCAUAGCCGUACGUCAUAAGGGGGCUUUGCCCCCCCUAAAUUUUUUUUUAUUUUUCGACAAACCGAUUUUUUUUAAUUGUAUAUGAUUCAGAAGCAAAAGAUACAUACAAUCCUAAAUUUUCACUUUUCUAUCUUUAACCGUUAUUUUUUUAAAAAAAUUUCGUGGUUUAACAUCUAUAUAUUAUAUAAAAUUCUAAUUCGCAGGCUUUGUUACCGUACUCCUCCGAAACCGCUUGACCGAUUUUCAUGAAAUUUGGCAGGUGGACUCGACCGGACAGGGAGUAGGUUGUUAUCUAUAUUUCAUAGCCGUACGUCAUAAGGGGGCUUUGCCCCCCCUAAAUUUUUUUUUUAUUUUUCGACAAACCGAUUUUUCUUAAUUGUAUAUGAUUCAGAAGCAAAAGAUACAUACAAUCCUAAAUUUUCACUUUUCUAUCUUUAACCGU
rnacentral:lncRNA from 1 species